GAUAUUCCUCAAGCCUGAGAAAACACAGCCUUCCCUCCAACAUAGCUGAAAGAAUUUGCUCAUGGAUCCAGGGAUGCUCACAGAAGGACUACCAUUCUCCAUGAUUGUGAGGGAGAGAGGAAAGAGGACAGUGGGAGAAUUCCUGUGUGCUAGUGCUCGGCUAGUGCUCUCCAUUUAUGCAGUCUAGAUCUUCUUGGAGGGUAAUAGCUCCACCCACAAUCACGAUGAGUCUUCACACAUCAAGGUAACCAAGAUGUCAUGAAGUGAGAAGAGCAAGAAGUAACUUUCCUGGGUUUUCACUGCUUCACCUAACAAGUAAUGGAGUCCCUUCACUACCAGUACAUUGGCCAGAAGUAGUCACAAGCCCUCUUCACUGCAAAGGACGAAGAGACAGAGGACUAGAAAUCAGACUGGAUUCUAGAAAUGUCCAUCUGAGGCAUUUUAAUCUUAAGAGUAUGUAAUGACUUUAGCACUCACUGAGUCUUACUUUAUGCCAGCAGAGCUUCAGAUUCUAGAACUAGUCAGAAAAGAUAGACCAGACAUUGCAUUUACGUGUGAAGCAAGAGUAACAACAGUGACCAGACACAUGGGAUAGCCGUGCACAGAAUAAAUUCAAUACAGAAAGAAGUUCAUGUGGUAAAAAAAAAAUAAUGUCCCUGUAGACGCAGGUUUCUCUAAGAAUCUUAAUCUUGUAUUGCAAAAUUAGUGCUGACAUUUGCUUUCUUAUAUAAUUAUAAAUACAGCAUUAUUACUCUUAUUUGAUAUAACCUAGAAAUUAAUUGAACAGAACACUAAAAUAAUUUGGAACUUCCAAUACGCAAUUUUGGUUUUUAAGGUCAAGUCAUGAGAAAAUUAUUUCACACAGCAUACUAUCAAAAGAUAGGGAGAUUUAAAAUGGAAACACAUGUGCUUUUUUCAUUACAUUAUUGCUUAUAAUAAAUCACAUAUAGCACCCAUGCAUUACUGAUUUUAUGAUUUGCAUUAGGCUUGGUGUGGGGAAUUCAUCUGUGGCCCAAUUUAUUUGACUGGAAUAAGCAAUAUGUCUCUUCUACUUUUUGAACUGACUAUGUCAUUGAAUAAAUAGAAUCACUGAGAUUCUCCAUGAAUCCUCUGAAAGUGGCUAGCUAAACUUCCACACCAUAGGUCGGCUGAGUAUCAGGAACAUUCUCAAGUAAUCAGCCCCGAUAUCAAGGUGCUUAUAGGGUCUUUGCUUGCAUCAUGCAUGCUAAUGUACCAUGGAUCAAAGCUACUUGUGUGGCCAAAAUCUAUGAGUGUAAGGUGAGCGUCAUGGUUCAUUAUGAGCAUUAGCCCUUUCUACUGCAACUGCAUGGCCCUUAGUAGUCCCUGUUACUCCUACUGAGACAAUUCACUCUUAAAGACUGAUUCCACAUUAUCACAGGCCUCAGGAGGCAGGCUGUUUUCUGUAUCAGGACAAGUGGGAAUGGAGCUCUUCCUGUUUGGCUGCUUUGAGCUUCAGCACCUGUGAUCUGAGACAAUACACUGCAUGUCCCACUCUUCCAUCCUUGCUAAUAAAAUGGCAGAACAGAGACAGUAGCAACAGCCUCCGUUCGCAAGGACCACGGGGGAACCGCAGAGUUAUAGCUGAUGUUGCUUGUCCUUCGCAGUCCUGGAAUAUAGUUGGGUAUGUACUACCACUUAUUUUAUGAGUGAGAGCUGAGUUCUGAUACCUGAAAGUGACUCUCUAUGUCUCUGGAUUACAAUGCACUCACUUAUUUCUUCAGCCUUCGUCUUUCUUGCUCACAGCAGGUUGAGAGCACAGGCAUGUCAUUCCGUUUCGAAAAGUCUUGGUCUAUUCAAUCCCGUUCACAGAUGCUCACAUUAGCACAACUUUGAGUCUGUGUAAUUCUUGUAAAUCUUAGAGGUUUGUUUCACUAGACAAAUAUCAUAUCUGAAGUUCCGUAGGGCUGAUCCUUUCCUAGAGCACCCAGCAACCCCCCAAGCUACACACCAUGAAUCUUAUGCUUUUGAAACUUUUCCCCUUUUUUGUCCCUCCCCACACACACACACAUUGAAUGUCUAUGAGGAAUACCCCGAGGAGUCACAGUUUCUUUGAGAACUGUAAGACAGUGCUGUUAUUUCUUCUUAGGUAUCAAAAACACUGUCUUUAAUUUGUUGGUUUGCUUUCAGGUCCUAUUUUACAUGACCAUGUCCUGAAUUUGAUGUUUUUCUUCAGGCAACUUCUUUCUCUGAAAAUAUUUUCCAAAAGAGCACUAAAGAUAAAAAUUACUUUUUAUUUUUGGCCCCCACCCCCUGAAGUGCUUUCUUAAAACUCGACUGGAAAACAAAAGUUAAUUUUUAGCUUAUUUUACUGUCAUAAUAUAUUUUAGGCAACCAAAGGAUGCCAGGUGUUUCCUUAAACAUUCUGCAUGAAUAUCUCUAGAGCUGAACCCACAAUUAAUUAGGUAACUUUCUAUUUUCCGUGUUAGUGCAGGUGAUGGUUUUGCCAGUUAAUCUGCUUAUAAAGAACAGGUUCUAUUUCUCUGGCUUCCAGAAACCAUUCCCCCAUUAUCGCUCUCUCUUCCACUAAGGGUCUUGUUGGUAUUCCUCAGGUCCUGUCAAUGCAUGAUUUCAAGUUCUACAUAUUUUAAGUUCUUGUUAUAGCUGACUUCGAGGUGUUAAUUUCUAAUUUCCCUAUUGCCUCAAAUGACAAUUUUACUUACUGUUUUCCUGAUACAUAACUUAGAUCCACUUUCUUCACUUUCUAAUAGAUUAUCCUGUUCUCAUUAUCACCAAAAUUAAAAAAAAUCUCCUUCAAGUUUCACCUAUAUGGCAAUAAAUACACUAUUAAUUUAGUCUCUUCUAUCUUCUAGAUUAAGGUAUCUGAAACUUCCCCUACUUGUGGUCCUUUCUGCCUGAGAUAUUUUUAUAUAACUCCUAGGCUAUAGGCAUAUGAAAGAGACAUACAAGUCAAAUAUUUCCUGGUAAAACAUCAUAUAAAUUUAUUGUUUAUCAUAUCUAUAGUUUUAUCAUCUGUUAAAGAAUAGAGCUCAUUUGUCCACUACCUAGUUAAGGGUGUUUAUCUGUUUUAUACAAAGAAUUAAAUUUUGGCUGAAUAUGUGAUACUGUAGAACAUAAAAAAUCUUUGAUAUUUUGAUUCUAUAGUCAUCAAUGCUAAGAAUGCCACUUUGCAUAAAUGUAUAGUACAAAAUAGAGACACAUGUUUUGGAUCAUUUCAGAUAUUAUUAGAAAUUCUAUCCUAAUCCCAGGCUAAAAUCCAUAAUUUUUAGUGAAAUUAAAAGAGUAAUUGAAAAAAAAUAAACAUUUUGAUAUAACACGGUCUAACGACACAGCAAUUUGAUAUUUACACUCUAAAGAAUGAUAGUAAGAAAAAUAUUCAGUCUUUGUUUUCCUGAAAUUUAACCAUUAUGUUUGUAUAAGAGCAGAAAAUGUUGUAUGUAUCUGAUAAA